rnacentral:rRNA from 1 species
GAUGAACGCUGGCGGCGUGCCUAAUACAUGCAAGUCGAGCGAACAGACGAGGAGCUUGCUCCUCUGACGUUAGCGGCGGACGGGUUAGUAACACGUGGAUAACCUACCUAUAAGACUGGGAUAACUUCGGGAAACCGGCUCUAAUACCGGAUAAUAUCUUGAACCGCAUGGUUCACUAGUGAAAGACGGGUUUGCUGGCAAUUGUCGUUGGAUCCGCGCCUCCUGAACAAGGUGGUAAGGUAACGGCUUACCAAUGCAACGAUGGGUACCCGACCUGAUCGGGUGAUCGGCCAGACUGGAACUGAGGCACGGUACAGACUCCUGCAGGAGGCAGCAGUAGGGAAUCUUCCGCAAUGGGCGAAAGCCUGACGGAGCAACGCCGCGGGAAUGAUGAAGGUCUUAUGAUCGUAAAACUCUGUUAUUAGGGAAGAACAAAUGUGUAAGUACCGAUGCACGUCUUGACGGUACCUAAUCAGAAAGCCCCGGCUAACUACGUG